rnacentral:rRNA from 1 species
GACGAACGCUGGCGGCGUGCCUAAUACAUGCAAGUAGAACGCUGAAGGAGGAGCUUGCUUCUCCGGAUGAGUUGCGAACGGGUGAGUAACGCGUAGGUAACCUGCCUGGUAGCGGGGGAUAACUAUUGGAAACGAUAGCUAAUACCGCAUAAGAGUAGAUGUCGCAUGACAUUUGCUUAAAAGGUGCACUGCACCACUACCAGAUGGACCUGCGUUGUAUUAGCUAGUUGGUGAGGUAACGGCUCACCAAGGCAACGAUACAUAGCCGACCUGAGAGGGUGAUCGGCCACACUGGGACUGAGACACGGCCCAGACUCCUACGGGAGGCAGCAGUAGGGAAUCUUCGGCAAUGGACGGAAGUCUGACCGAGCAACGCCGCGUGAGUGAAGAAGGUUUUCGGAUCGUAAAGCUCUGUUGUAAGAGAAGAACGAGUGUGAGAGUGGAAAGUUCACACUGUGACGGUAUCUUACCAGAAAGGGACGGCUAACUACGUG